rnacentral:rRNA from 1 species
AUAUCUCUGUAGAGUCUGCAUAUCAAUAAGCGGAGGAAAAGAAACUAACUAGGAUUCCCUCAGUAACGGCGAGUGAAGCGGGAAGAGCUCAAAUUUGAAAUCUUCAAGGUUCUACCUUGACGAAUUGUAGUUUAAAGAAGUGUUUCUGUUGACGAUCAUAGUAUAAAGUUCUUUGGAAUAGGACAUCAUAGAGGGUGAGAAUCCCGUAUAUGAUUAUUAUUUGUAAGCUUUGUGAUACACUUUCAAAGAGUCGGAUUGUUUGGGAAUGCAGUCCCAAAAUGGGUGGUAAAUUUCAUCUAAAGCUAAAUAUUGGCGAGAGACCGAUAGCGAACAAGUACCGUGAGGGAAAGAUGAAAAGAACUUUGAAAAGAGAGUUAAACAGUACGUGAAAUUGUCAAAAGGGAAGCGUUUGACACCAGUGUUGUUUUUCCGAAAAUCAAUUACGGAUGGCUUGAUUUUGUGUUGUAUUGACCUUAUCAGCUUUCUUCACUUUUUUCGAGUCUUUCUUAAUGCACUUUUCGGUUAACAAGUCAACAUCAGUUUCUUUUGUUGUAAAAGGGUCAUUGGAAGGUGGCUUUCUUUUCGGAGAAAGUGUUUAUAGCCCUAUACUUCUACAAUCGGAGAGAUUGAGGUCUGCAGCGUAGAUCCUUCGGGGUUAGAUACACUUGUGCUAAGUUAUAGCUUUCAUAGACAACUUGUUGACUAUGAUUCAGUCAUGUCGCUUACUCGCUUAUGCUAUUUUACCUACGCUUAGGAUGUUGAAGAUGUAGCACAUCAU